rnacentral:rRNA from 1 species
UGAGAAUCCCGUCCACCGAUUGACUAAGGUUUCCAGAGGAAGGCUCGUCCGCUCUGGGUUAGUCGGGUCCUAAGCUGAGGCCGACAGGCGUAGGCGAUGGAUAACAGGUUGAUAUUCCUGUACCACCUAUAAUCGUUUUAAUCGAUGGGGGGACGCAGUAGGAUAGGCGAAGCGUGCGAUUGGAUUGCACGUCUAAGCAGUAAGGCUGAGUAUUAGGCAAAUCCGGUACUCGUUAAGGCUGAGCUGUGAUGGGGAGAAGACAUUGUGUCUUCGAGUCGUUGAUUUCACACUGCCGAGAAAAGCCUCUAGAUAGAAAAUAGGUGCCCGUACCGCAAACCGACACAGGUAGUCAAGAUGAGAAUUCUAAGGUGAGCGAGCGAACUCUCGUUAAGGAACUCGGCAAAAUGACCCCGUAACUUCGGGAGAAGGGGUGCUCUUUAGGGUUAACGCCCAGAAGAGCCGCAGUGAAUAGGCCCAAGCGACUGUUUAUCAAAAACACAGGUCUCUGCUAAACCGUAAGGUGAUGUAUAGGGGCUGACGCCUGCCCGGUGCUGGAAG